UACAGUUUUCAAUAUACAUAUGGUAUGAAAUAAUUUCCUAUUGAAGUCAUCUUAACAUGGAACCAGAAUUAAAUCCUAACAACAAUCAUGUGAGCCUGGGGAGGAUCCUUCCCCACGUGAGCCUUCAGGGGAGACUUCAGCCUUGGCCAUCUUCUACAUCUAGAUUCCUGACCAAGAGAAGCUGUUUAGAAUAGUUCACCAGUGAAGUCAUCUCAACCAGCACAGGGCCUUGACUCCUAACAACAAUCACACGAACUUGGAAGAGGAGCCUUCCCCAACUGAACCUUCGCUUGAGACCUCGUCCUUGGCCAUCCUCUACAUCUGGAUUCAUGAUACAGAGAAACUUGAGUAAUGAUGACACUAGCAGUCCAGCCUGCAUGGAUGCUGACAUGGAUGCUGUCUCCCAUUCUUACCACUGGAUGGGAAGAAAUGCUAGAUGCAAUCCAGCCAGUCUGUACUCGACUGUCAGUUCCAUCUUCUCAACUCACAGUGUCUUCCAAAGUCCGUGCCACACCACAGCCUGGAACAUCUCCCAAGGUUUCAAAUAAUUCAUCAGUGAAUUCUUCUCAACCUGGUCAAUCAUGUGAACUUAGAAGAUGAUUCCUCCCCAGCUGAUCCUCAGGUGAGACAUCAGCCUUGGCCAUCAUCUACAUCUGGAUUCCUGACCCAGAGAAACUGGAACACUAAGACCCAUUCUUCUUCUCAAGUAUCCAAAAAUAAAGUUGAUCCAAGUAAGAAGUGGACAGCAUAAAAGAUUGUAUGGAAGCUAUAAUGCAUCUACAUCUGCAGUAACUAAUCAUAAAAUGAUUUGUAUGAUCAUUCUUCACAUGAUUAGAAUUACUAUGGGAAAGAAGAAAAAGAAAUGCCUCUCUGGAUGGUGACUAUAACCUAUAGCCUUGCCCAAUAUGACUCAGGAUUUGGUACUGGCUGUGCCUUUCAUGGGAUGCUUACUUAUCCUGGUCGAUGGCCUAAAGCCCAACCGUCCAGCUUAUAUCCAGGGAUAAACUCAGCCUGCGGGGCCUCAGGAAGAAGGUCGUAGCCAUUUCAUUGAGUCCAGGGCAGAAAAGUGGAAGAAAAAUGUGAAUGUGUUAAUUUGAGGACUUUAGCUCUGAGAGGUUUCAGGAUUCAGUCCAAAAUGCAGAAAACAAUAAAAAGCUCAAAAACAAUGGACAAGACUAGAAUCUAACAACAGGGUCUCAAGCCACCCAGGCUGGAGUGCAGUGGCACAAUUAUGGCUCACUGUAGCCUCACCUUCCUGGGAUCAAGCAAUCUUCUUUCUUCAGCCUCCAGAGGAGCUGGGACCACAGAUCCUUUGGCAUUUGAGAGUUGCUUUGUGUAUACGGUCCUUUAACGGAGCAAAUGGCCAGCCAGGAAACCAAAGUAUGGACAAGGGGAAAGAAGCGUCUGUGGAGGAAGUUUUACAAGCGCCCUCCUCAUCCAUUUGGGUGGUGUUGCCCAUAUGCUACAUGUCUGUGGACCACUAUGUGUGUUUAAAGCUUUUUAGUAAAACGUUACUAAAAACUAUGACUCACUGUGGUGAAAAAGGUGGCAAAACAGUGACAACACAACACGGAGAUGCAUUGACACCCUUCUUCAAUCCAGAGGAUGGGCCAUCAACUCACAAAAGUACAAGGCCUGGAACCAGCUGCAAAGUUCCUAUGGAUCACUUGGCCAGAAACAGGUUCUAACUAUGUUGCCCAAGCUGGUCCUGAACCGCUAGCCUCAAAUAAUCCUCCUGCCUGAACCUACCAAAGCAUUGGUAUUACAAGUUUGACCCACCGUGAUCUGUCCAGAGUGGGAAAUAGAAUCUUAACAACUAUCACAUGAACUUUGAGGGUAUCCUUCUCCAGAUGAGCCUUCAGUUGAGACCUCAGCCUUGGACAUCAUCUGCACCUGGAUUCCUGACCCAGAGCAACUGUA
rnacentral:lncRNA from 1 species